rnacentral:rRNA from 1 species
GCCCGCUCAGAAACUACAAAGGAAUUGACGGGGGCCCGCACAAGCGGUGGAGCAUGUGGUUUAAUUCGAUGAUACGCGAGGAACCUUACCUGGGCUCAAAUGUAUGUUGACGUAUUCUGAAAGGGAUACUUCUUCGGACAAUAUACAAGGUGCUGCAUGGUUGUCGUCAGCUCGUGCCGUGAGGUGUCGGGUUAAGUCCCAUAACGAGCGCAACCCCUAUCAUUAGUUGCCAUCAGGUCAAGCUGGGGACUCUAAUGAAACUGCCUACGCAAGUAGUGAGGAAGGUGGGGAUGACGUCAAAUCAGCACGGCCCUUACGUCCAGGGCUACACACGUGUUACAAUGGCCAGUACAGAGGGCAGCCACCCCGCGAGGGGGCGCUAAUCCUAAAAGCUGGUCCCAGUUCGGAUCGGAGUCUGCAACCCGACUCCGUGAAGCUGGAUUCGCUAGUAAUCGCGCAUCAGCCACGGCGCGGUGAAUACGUUCCCGGGCCUU